rnacentral:tRNA from 1 species
GUGGGCAUAGCUCAGUGGUAGAACAUGUGCUUAGCAUGCACAAGGUUCUGGGUUCAAGCCCUAGUAUCUCCA